rnacentral:rRNA from 1 species
GACGAACGCUGGCGGCGCGCUUAACACAUGCAAGUCGAACGGGGUUUCUUCCUUCGGGAGGGAAUUCAGUGGCGAACGGGUGCGUAACACGUGAGCAACCUGCCUCGGGGUGGGGGAUAACCCGUGGAAACGCGGGCUAAUACCGCAUGACCUCGCGACCCUGCAUGGGGAUGCGAGGAAAGGAGCUUUCGGGCUCUGCCUUGAGAGGGGCUCGCGGCGUAUCAGCUGGAUGGUGGGGUAAUGGCCUACCAUGGCGACGACGCGUAGCCGAUCUGAGAGGAUGAUCGGCCACAUUGGGACUGAGAUACGGCCCAGACUCCUACGGGAGGCAGCAGUGGGGAAUCUUGCGCAAUGGGCGAAAGCCUGACGCAGCGACGCCGCGUGGGGGAGGAAGCUCCUCGGAGUGUAAACCCCUGUCAGGAGGGAAGAAUGGUCACCCGAGGAAAUGCGGGUGAUUUGACGGUACCUCCAGAGGAAGCACCGGCUAACUCUGUGCCAGCAGCCGCCGUAAAAC